rfam:Gossypium raimondii chromosome 9, whole genome shotgun sequence.
AAGCUAUGCGUCGGGCAUUUUCUCAGUAGCUCUUUGAACCACUCACAUGCUUUAUAUAAUGUUUCAUCUUCUAAUUGCCUAAACGAUGUAAUGUCAUUCCUCAACUU